rnacentral:SRP_RNA from 1 species
GCUGGGCGCAGUGGCGCAUGCCUGUAGUCCCAGCUACUUGGGAGGCUGAGGUGGGAGGAUCGCUUGAGCCCAGGAAUUCUGGGCUGUAGUGCGCUAUGCUGAUCGGGUGUCUGCACUAAGUUCGGCAUCAAUAUGGUGACCUCCUGGGAGCGGGGGACCACCAGGUUGCCUAAGGAGGGGUGAACCGGCCCAGGUAGGAAACAGAGCAGGUCAAAACUCCUGUGCUGAUCAGUAGUGGGAUCACGCCUGUAAAUAGCCACUGCACUCCAGCUUGGGCAAUGUAGUGAGGCCCCAUCUCU